AAAAAUCCCAAAGGCCACGUUCCUUUUCCUGCAGUGACAAAACUGCGGUACCAAGAAAUCGAGUGACUCACCUAAGGUCACCCAGCUUCAAGUCCUAUUGCCAGAAUUCCAAGAGCCAAGGAUGAAUUCCCCAAACCACAGAGGGGUUCUACCUAAUACCUCUAUCCACCUCUAAUACUUCUUUCCACCUGGUCCCAGGCACAGCCCCUAAACCUGAGCCCCCUCCUCCUGGCUCCUCCCCACCAGGAAGUGACGGCAGCCCUGUGACUGUUAACCCGGAAAACUGCGAGAGGCUUUCCCAUGGAGGGGUCCUCACACCUGGGUUCACCCCUGCCGGAAGACACCGCUGCAUCGUGUGCAGCAGCUGCAAGGCCUGCGUCAUGGGAGGCGAGAGCCCUAGCCGGCUGCCCUGCCACAGUCCACGAUCAGCUGAGUGCCUUGAUGGCUCCAUAACGGCUUUCUCAAUGAGCAACCUACUUUUCGUAACAACAACAAAGCAACGACGCCUUGAUGCCACAUUCAUGCCACCACCCUCACCACUUGGCCCCCGAAGCCUCAGAAGCCUGCCCACCUGCAGGUGUGGUUUGCACAGGACAGCACAUCCCUCCUCGCCCUGGGUUUAAGCUUAAACACACAGUGGAGAGACCAAGGAGCUGAGGCGCUAAGGAGAUGACCUAAGGUUGCAAAGUGAAAAGCAAGGCCAAGGAGGGGCUUCAUUUCAAAUACCAGAUGCGGGGCCGGCCCUCCAUCCGCUCCUCGGAACGCAGCACUCCGCUGCCUCCCGGGCAGACGGUCUCCACCACUACUUGCUUCUGCUCAUCUCUGAAGGCAGAGUUAAAUAAAAUUAAUACUAUUAUUGAAUGCCAAUUUUCAUGUUUAAUUUUAUGGCCAAAUGUGACAAUAAUAGUCAAGAGUUGGCACUAAAAAAAGGUGCUGUGAUUUUUGAAGAGUCUAUAAAAAAAUGGUGGUUUUUAAAAUACCAGAUCAUAUGAUUCAGUCUUUGAACAGCGGAUAGCCUCACCAGGGAAGUCACAAUGACAUUUAAAUACAAAUCAAGGAGUCGGAUCUCAGGAGGCUAGCCACAUAUAAUUCAACUGAACUUUCAUUGAGAGAUAGUUGUUAGUUAUAAGACUAGCUUUCCAAAUGUAUGUGGUACAUCAUAUGUGAAUCGAUUGCCUGUGCAGAACACCAGCCUAUGCUGUUUUGCAAAGAAGUACGAUGCCAAGUGAGAGGGAAGCAGUCAUCUUCCUGACUCGUCCAUCCUGAAUGAGAAGGGACUUUGAGCAGACAAGAAAAUGGCGUGAACACGGACGUAUGGAUCACGCCCCGAGAGAGGAUCAUUUUAUCCUUCAGCCUCCUAGAUCAAUUAUGAGCCCUGGGAGGGAGCAGAUUCGCCUGUUGCAGAAAAUAAGGUCGCUUGCCCAAGGCCACAGAGAUGGCAAAUGGGAGACGGAGAAGUCAAAGCCAGGCUGGCAGGAGCCAGGAACCUGUGUCACAGAGAAGUGCACUGAGUUCAUACGAGUGGAAAUUACCCGCCAGUCACCAGAGCGUGAGCAAGCCAGCCAGAGCGAGGGGCCCUCCCCGGCCCUCCCACCACGGAGCCGGCUCCCUUUGCCCUUUAGGACUCAGCCAGACACCGCCUUCCCUGAGCAGUGCUGUUCGCAGCGCGGAAGUGCCCGACAUCGGGAGCUUCUCCCUCCAUCCCAGCCAGCACUGCUGUGGGAAGCACAGCCCCUUCGCUUGCACUUCUCCGGAU
rnacentral:lncRNA from 1 species